AACAUACUCCCUCCGUCUGGAAAUACUAGUCAUCAAGAUGGAUAAAAAGGGUGUAUCUAGAUACAUUCCCUUUUAUUCAUCUUGAUGACUAGUAUUUCCGGACGAAGGGAGUAUUAG
rfam:Triticum aestivum genome assembly, contig: Triticum_aestivum_CS42_TGACv1_scaffold_569501_7AS